rnacentral:lncRNA from 1 species
CCCCAGUCCUUAAUUUUUCUUUCCACAGUUUUCUAUCAAGCCUCCACCCCCCUCCGCGCCCCUCACCUCCAGCUGGCGGGAACCUCUAGACCAGACCACAGACCAGCCAAUCAGCCUAGUAACCACACAUCCAAGGUGCAGCGCGCCUGGGUGCUGGUGGGCGUCUCUGCGCCAGGAAUAGCUUCAGCCCACAUCCAGCCACCUCAAAAGCGCCCGGGGAAGAGGAUCGGCGUGAAACCGCCGCCUCGGCCCAUUCGAAAGCGGACCUCCCGUUCCCGCUCCAACUUGGCGCUGCUGCCAGCCUGUCUGGGGACCCAAAGGGGGUGGCCUGGGGACUCCUCAAGUGCGGGCUGAUGUGCUCCCCCU